rnacentral:lncRNA from 1 species
AUACCAUGGCUGUAAGCCAAUCAGCACCCAGUUUAUAAUAAUGUAUAGCUUCUGUCUUACAUCACCACGGCAUUAGACCAGGGGCCAAAAGUGUGACACCAAUCAGGCUCCGAGAACUGGAGUUGCCCAUCCCUGCCUUAUACUAGAAUGCAACUACUUACAACAAGCCUACACAGCGGAACACUAAACUAACCUUUCGUGUGCUAAAUGUCUGUCUGUUGCGCGUUGGCUCAAUAACUUAUUUUCAGUCAACGAAAGCAAUACAAUACUUUCAUGUAUAGGACAAACGUAUUAAUGACCAAUAAAGAAACAUUCUUUCUCCGACUAGAAAUACGUGUUAUCGAUCACACUAGGCGAGCAUAUUCUAUUCAGAAGGGAGUGUGUGACUUGUAUGCACACUUAAAUGUCUUGUGCACGCAUGGCUCAGAUUGCCCCACCCAUCUCAUGUGUCUAUAGGCUGGCCAGGCUUCCUAUAUAGCUUGAUACGUGAACAUCGUGCGCUUGUACUCCCUCCCUGGGCACAUUUCAACCAGCUCAACCCCGAGCACAGCUGCCUGCAGAAAACAUGGGACAUGAGACGUAUGUGGCAGGGUCUACAGGAAAUCACGGACUACAAAAAGAACCAGCCACGUCACUGACACCGACAUUACGCUUCCAGACAAACUAAACGCCUUCUUUGCCCACUUUGAGGAUAAUACAGUGCCACUGUCGCGGCCUGCUAACAAGAACUGCAUCCGUCUCCUUCUCCGUGGCCGGCAUGAGUAAAACAUCUAAACGGCUGCUGGCCCAGACGGCAUCCUUAGCCGCUCCUCAGAGCAUGGGCAGACCAGCUGGCUGGUGUGUUUACGGACAUAUUCAAUCGCUUCCUAUCCCAGUCUGCUUCAAGAUGGCCACCAUUGUUCCUGUACCCAAGAAGGCAAAGAUAACUGAACUAAAUGACUAUUGCCCUGUAGCACUCACUUCUGUCAUCAUGAAGUACUUUGAGAGACUAGUCAAGGAUCAUAUCCCCUCCACCUUACCGGCCACCCUAGACCCACUUCAGUUUGCAUACUGCCCUAACAGGUUCACAGACGAUGCAAUCGCCAUCACACUGCACACUGCCCUAUCCCAUCUGGACAAGAGGAAUACCUAUGUAAGAAUGCUGUUCAUUGACUACAGCUCAGCAUUCAACACCAUAGUAAACUCCAAGCUCAUCAUCAAGCUGGAGGCUCUGGGCCUCAACCCCGCCCUGUGUAAUUGGGUCCUGGACUUCCUGACGGGCCGCCCCCAGGUGGUGAAGGUAGGAAACAACAUCUCCUCCUCGCUGACCCUCAGCACUGGGGCCCCACAAGGGUGUGUGCUCAGCCCCCCCCCCCGUACUCCCUGUUCACCCACAACUGUGUGGCCAUGCACUCCUCCAACUCAAUCAUCAAGUUUGCAGAUGACACAACAGUAGUGGGCUUGAUUACCAACAACGACGAGACAGUCUACAGGGAGGAGGUGAGGGCACUUGGAGUGUGGUGUCAGGAAUAUAACCUCUCCUUUGUUUUGUUGAUGCUGAGUGAGAUGAUCGUGGACUUCAGGAAACAGCAGAGGGAGCACCCCCCCAUCUACAUAGAAAGGACAGCAGUGGAGAAAGUGGAAAGUUUUAAGUUCCUCGGUGAACUCAAACAACAAACUGAAAUGGUCCACCCACACAGAUGGUGUGGUGAAGAAGGCGCAACAGCGCCUCUUCAACCACAGGAGGCUGAAGAAAUUUGGCUUGUCACCCAAAACCCUGACUAACUUUUACAGAUCCACAAUCGAGAGCAUCCUGUUGGACUGGAUCACAACCUGGUACGGCAACUGCUCUUCCCUCAACAGCAAGGCUCACCAGAGGGUGGUGAGGUCUGCACAACGCAUCACCGGGGGCAAACUACCUGCCCUCCAUGACACCUAUAGCACCCGAUGUCACAGGAAGGCAAAAAAGAUAAAGCCAACCACCCGAGCCACUGCCUGUUCACACCGCUACCAUCCAGAAAGCGAGGUCUCCAGACCAGACCUGCAUCAACACACCACUGCCCAAAGAAACCAACCCCAGAUCUACUACAGACAUGAUCAUCAGACUGGGCAGGCUGACCCCUGGAUACUUCCGCCUCCUACAGAGACAGGUGGCCGGUGAGGUGCAGACCCAGCCACAGGACCGCGCGGUCAACCAGAUAGCCAUGAUGCUGGCCAUCAUGGGCCUGAGCCUGUCCUACUACAGUGCCAAACGGAUGACCGAGAAGGUCCAGAGGCUCCAGAAGAGAAGAGAUCCCCAUACACCCUGAAGAGACCCCUCCCCCCAGUGCGCCGGUCCUCUUUGAACCUGGAGAGAAGACGAACCAACGCGAAAACGAGGAGAGGAGAGUUGACAGUGUCGGUGUCCAGAACAACACCUUUUCACAACCAAUCAGUCAUAGUCACGUCGUUCAGACACUGGAGUUUUACUGGGAUCACUCUCAAUGCGAGGAGAGUUCGGGGUCUGCUGUUGUUAAGGGUAUCUUAAUUUUUCACCCCAAUGGAUGUUGGGAGGACCUUGUGGGGGAGUGUGUAUGUGGGAAAGGCUGACGGUGGGGUUCGUGUGGUCCUGAUAAAGUUUGGGGGGUAAAAAGUACAACCAUCUGUCUAUGGUCAGGCUGGGCCCGUGCUUCAGUCGUUGCCAAGGUACAUGCGUGCAGGAUGCCGUCAAUACUGUUCUGAGCUAAAAAGGAUAAAGAAAUGCUAAACUAAUUAUUCUAAUGUACUGUGAAUCUCUUGCCAGUGCUCCAAGUAUAUGACAGCUUGUCUAAAAUAACUGAGCGGUAAUUAUUUUUGAGGGAAUGCUUUCUGCAUUUGAGAUGUAUCUAGUAAUGACUGAAGGUGGGCCUGUAGUGUGGCUGAAAGUGGGGAGAAAGGAACCCUCUUAGGUUUUUGUAAUUCCUUUAUUGUUAAAAAAAAUUAAAGUGAGCCAUGUGAACUAGAUGUGGAGGAGUCUCAAACUGGUCAAUAAUUCCACACAUGUUCAAUAUCUGUUAAUGUCAGACACAAACAACCGUACAUUACUGGUGAAAUGCAGUAUUUUAACGUUUUGGGAAGUUGCUUAUCCAAAUCUACGAAGAAAAAAAAGGCACGUAAAUCAGUCUUGAUAAAAAUGGGUGGCUUUCUUUUAAAGAACUCGAUCUGCAAUAGCUACUAGGUGUUACCACAAAUAUUCUAACUUCAGUAAACGUUGCAUGGGUAUGCAGCUUUUAAUAUCUUCGUUAAUACUGUCACGUUUUAGUUUUUUAAAGGACGAUGACCAUGAAUGUAUAUUUCUGUGAUGUUUUAUAGAAAUCGAAUAAAGCUGUGACUUGAAUAAUAAGAACCGUGGCAGUUUAGUAAUGAUUUUAAGGUGUUUGGGAAUUUUGGAAAAACCGACGUGAACAAGCAUUUUAUCACAAUAUUUAUAUUUUGUUAAGGGGAACUUCUUUAAUCUCUAAAUUUUUCUGUGAAACGAUGAUAUUGCCCCACCAUUUCAGCUCAAUAGCUGCUUGGUUGGAUUUGGCAUAAUAGACUCUGUAGCACCACUUCCUGUAUCAUAGGGUGUCUGGUGUCCGCAGGAGCGUGCCGUCUGCACGCAACAGGAAGUGUUCAGGCCUCCAGACAGUCGUUGUCUUCAUCAUAACUGGGGCAUCUGUAUCUGUCUGUAGUCUGUACCAGUUUGCCCUCAGGGAAAGUCGCAGGGCAAAGUUUUAAUCUAUACCGAACAAAAAUAUAAACGCAAUAAUUUCAAUGAUUUUACAGUUCAUAUAAGGAAAUCGGUUUAUUGAAAGAAAAUUGCCCCUAAUCUAUGGAUUUCACAUGACUGGGCAGGGGUGCAGCCAUGAGUGGGCCUGGGAGAGCAUAGGCCCACCCACUUGGGAGACUGGCCCAGCCACUGGCAGCCAGGCCCAGCCACUGGCAGCCAGGCCCAGCCAAUCAGAAUGAGUUUUUCACCACAAAGGGCUUUAAUGCAUACAGAAAUACUCCUCAGUUUCAUCAGCUGUCCGGGUGGCUGGUCUCAGACGAUCCCGCAGGUGAAGAAGCCAGAUGUGGAGGUCCUGGGCUGGCAUUGUUACACGUGGUCUGCGGUUGUGAGAUCGGUUGGAUGUACUGCUAAUUCUCUAAAAUGACGUUGGAGGCGCCUUAUAGUAGAGAAAUUAACAUUAAUUUAUCUGGCAACAGCUCCGGUGGACGUUCUUGCAGUCAGCAUCCCAGUUGCACGCUCCCUCAAAACUUGAGACAUCUGUGGCAUUGUGUUGUGUGACAAAACUGCACAUUUUAGAGUGGCCUUUUAUUGUCCCCAGCACAAGCUGCACCUGCGUAAUGAUCAUGUUUAAUCAGCUUCUUGAUAUGCCACACCUGUCGGGUGGAUGGAUUAUCUUGGCAAAGGAAAUAUGCUCACUAACAGGGAUGUAAACAAAUUUGUCCCCAAAAUUUGAGGUAAAUACGCUUUCUGUGCAUUUGGAAAGUUUCUGGGAUAUUUUAUUUCAGCUCAUGAAACAUGGGACCAACACUUUACAUGCUGUGUUUAUAUUUUUGUUCAGUAUGUUUUGCUUUUACUGUCAGACAGUUUAUUAAUACAGAAAAUCAGUCAAAUCUGAAUUGUUACUGUAUGUUCUCCAAUGGCACUCAUUUUAGAACGUGUACAGAUUAUAAAUCCUGAGGGUUGGAGGAAGACUCAUGCACUGGUUAAACAUCAGCGCCAUUCUGAGGCCCUCCCUUGUCUGUUCCAUGUUCUCUACAGAAUGUUCUCUUCUAUAGCUGGGUAGACUGUAUAGAAGCUAUGCAUCUGAGGUACUUCUAGCAUGACCAUGUUAGGGAGGGUGAGAGGAUAGAGUAGUGGUGACUGGUGAGGACUUCAGAUAAGAGGGACGGGGGUUGAAAGCUGUUUGUGUAUGGCUUGUUGAUUCACCAGUCCAGUUCUUUAUACAGGUUAUUUUGAAGAAUGCUGAAGUCUUGUCAGUACUAAAUAAGAAAAUUGUUGGAAUGGCACACUCGUGAGUUGGUACAAUGGAUCUAAGGAAUAGUUUAUUUCCUCAUUGUCUUCCUUUAGAGUUUAGGAAGAUGAGUAUAAAGGAGAUAGAUAUUGAGCUCUGAAAAAAUAUAUAAGUUAUAAGAAUGUUUUCAUGAUCGAAGGAUCAUUGCUUGCUUUUAAGUGAUGUUUGUCAGAACUAGGAUAAAGUAUGUCUAGUGUUAGAAUGUUCAAUGUUGAGUGGUAUGGAAUUUGUGUUCAAAUAGUUAUAUGAAUAGGUUUAACCUGUCGCAUAAUAGAGAAGUCUGAAUUGUACUUGUUUUGGUUGGCUUUUGGAAACCAGUCUGAUAGAUUAGCCCCAAGCCACCAAUAGCAAUAAUGAAACUGUUAGCACUUUUAGCAGUAGACAUAAUAUUGUCGAUUUCCCUCCGAAUUAUCUUCAGUCAGGCGGAUAGCUUGAUCAACUGGGGAUCACACCAAAAUCGCUUUGUUUAUUCAUCGCGAGCCCAGAG